rnacentral:sRNA from 1 species
UGAAUUAAAAUACUUUUUAAUUUGGCGC